AGAGUUUGAUCAUGGCUCAGAUUGAACGCUGGCGGCAGGCCUAACACAUGCAAGUCGAGCGGUAGCACAGAGAGCUUGCUCUCGGGUGACGAGCGGCGGACGGGUGAGUAAUGUCUGGGAAACUGCCUGAUGGAGAGGGAUAACUACUGGAAACGGUAGCUAAUACCGCAUAACGUCGCAAGACCAAAGUGGGGGACCUUCGGGCCUCAUGCCAUCAGAUGUGCCCAGAUGGGAUUAGCUAGUAGGUGGGGUAACGGCUCACCUAGGCGACGAUCCCUAGCUGGUCUGAGAGGAUGACCAGCCACACUGGAACUGAGACACGGUCCAGACUCCUACGGGAGGCAGCAGUGGGGAAUAUUGCACAAUGGGCGCAAGCCUGAUGCAGCCAUGCCGCGUGUGUGAAGAAGGCCUUCGGGUUGUAAAGCACUUUCAGCGGGGAGGAAGGCGGUGAGGUUAAUAACCUCAUCGAUUGACGUUACCCGCAGAAGAAGCACCGGCUAACUCCGUGCCAGCAGCCGCGGUAAUACGGAGGGUGCAAGCGUUAAUCGGAAUUACUGGGCGUAAAGCGCACGCAGGCGGUCUGUCAAGUCGGAUGUGAAAUCCCCGGGCUCAACCUGGGAACUGCAUUCGAAACUGGCAGGCUAGAGUCUUGUAGAGGGGGGUAGAAUUCCAGGUGUAGCGGUGAAAUGCGUAGAGAUCUGGAGGAAUACCGGUGGCGAAGGCGGCCCCCUGGACAAAGACUGACGCUCAGGUGCGAAAGCGUGGGGAGCAAACAGGAUUAGAUACCCUGGUAGUCCACGCCGUAAACGAUGUCGAUUUGGAGGUUGUGCCCUUGAGGCGUGGCUUCCGGAGCUAACGCGUUAAAUCGACCGCCUGGGGAGUACGGCCGCAAGGUUAAAACUCAAAUGAAUUGACGGGGGCCCGCACAAGCGGUGGAGCAUGUGGUUUAAUUCGAUGCAACGCGAAGAACCUUACCUGGUCUUGACAUCCACAGAACUUUCCAGAGAUGGAUUGGUGCCUUCGGGAACUGUGAGACAGGUGCUGCAUGGCUGUCGUCAGCUCGUGUUGUGAAAUGUUGGGUUAAGUCCCGCAACGAGCGCAACCCUUAUCCUUUGUUGCCAGCGGUUNGGCCGGGAACUCAAAGGAGACUGCCAGUGAUAAACUGGAGGAAGGUGGGGAUGACGUCAAGUCAUCAUGGCCCUUACGACCAGGGCUACACACGUGCUACAAUGGCAUAUACAAAGAGAAGCGACCUCGCGAGAGCAAGCGGACCUCAUAAAGUAUGUCGUAGUCCGGAUUGGAGUCUGCAACUCGACUCCAUGAAGUCGGAAUCGCUAGUAAUCGUAGAUCAGAAUGCUACGGUGAAUACGUUCCCGGGCCUUGUACACACCGCCCGUCACACCAUGGGAGUGGGUUGCAAAAGAAGUAGGUAGCUUAACCUUCGGGAGGGCGCUUACCACUUUGUGAUUCAUGACUGGGGUGAAGUCGUAACAAGGUAACCGUAGGGGAACCUGCGGUUGGAUCACCU
rnacentral:rRNA from 1 species